rnacentral:lncRNA from 1 species
AGGAAGCUUUUUACAAAAGGAAUAUUUACUUCCAAAUGUAGCAAGGGAAGGUGCAAAGUAGAUUGCAAGGAAUGAUUGACAAGCCUGGAUUCUGUAUGAGAGCUGACUGGGUCAGAAUUCCAAGCUGUUGAAAGUUUUUCAACUGUGAGUCUGAAACUGGAGGUCAAGACUGAAGGUGUGACUCUAGGACUCUCCCUGGACAAACCCAUCUUUCAAGCAGUCUGCCUUAGAAUAACAUCAAGACAAGGUUGAGAAGUUUCCCACUCAUUCUGGUGGACAGAGUGAUUUUGGAAAAGAAUUUCUCCCUUCCCUGGAGCUUCUAAGGACUCUACAACUGGAUUUCUGCUGUCUGACCCACCAAGGACUCAGUGUGAGAAUCUGGGCUGCCAAUUUGGAUUUAUCUUUAGGCUCUGGAAAGUCAUACUCUUCACAACUGAUAAUGAAGUGUCAACAGAGGAAAUAAAACCUUGCCACAAAGCAGCUGAGAUAAAACAGAAACAACCGACUCCUCAAAGAGCCUGUCAGGUUCUGGGAUCCGUGGAUCAUUCUCCAUCCCCUUGGAGGGAUGGCCCCAGCUCCUUAUUUGGAGAGCUCCAUUUCUUUUUCCCUUUAUGUGCCUUAUGAUCCUUCGAUGACUUCCCAGCAAUGAUGGGGACCAGAGGAUAGCAGGAGUGGCUCUCAGGAGGCUCAAUCUGGUUCCUCUUCUGACUCCUCCAAAUAUGGAACCGAGCACCUUCUCCUCACGAACCUUUCCAACACCCUAGGAUUGAGGUCUUCCUUCAGGCUUGAGCUGUCUUGUCCUGAACCUCUCCCUCCCCCAUCACCUACCCCCCACAGCCUUCAGGAAGAACAUAGAACUGAACUGAUUAAAUAAAAUACUUUAAAGAGUUGAAAAGGACCUUGAA